rnacentral:rRNA from 1 species
UGGGGAAUCUUCCGCAAUGGACGAAAGUCUGACGGAGCAACGCCGCGUGAGUGAUGACGGCCUUCGGGUUGUAAAGCUCUGUUAAUCGGGACGAAUGGUUCUUGUGCGAAUAGUGCGAGGAUUUGACGGUACCGGAAUAGAAAGCCACGGCUAACUACGCGCCAGCAGCCGCGGUAAUACGUAGGUGGCAAGCGUUGUCCGGAAUUAUUGGGCGUAAAGCGCGCGCAGGCGGAUUGGUCAGUCUGUCUUAAAAGUUCGGGGCUUAACCCCGUGAUGGGAUGGAAACUGCCAAUCUAGAGUAUCGGAGAGGAAAGUGGAAUUCCUAGUGUAGCGGUGAAAUGCGUAGAUAUUAGGAAGAACACCAGUGGCGAAGGCGACUUUCUGGACGAAAACUGACGCUGAGGCGCGAAAGCCAGGGGAGCGAACGGG